UGCCUGAUAAACAAGUCAGACUUUCUGAUCUGUGCUUUCCCAAGCUUCUCUCCUGUCUCUUCAAAAAGCAGUGUCAGUGACUUGAUGAAAGAUCCCAAAAGGAAAGGUCAGUUUUGACUGGAGGUGAUAGGAGCAACAGCCAGUUACCCAUUGUCUUCUUGAAGCAGGAGUCAAGUUGGAGAAAAAUAUGGAUAAGAUUCUGGCUAGCAGUCUCUUGGGAAAACAAGCAAAGGGAAGACAGAUGAUAAAACACCUCUCUAAAAACUCCCAAUAUUUAAUGCUAUUUUUAUUGCAUGCAUGCUACUGGAGACUUUGACAUGUCAUAUUCUUGUCUUUUUCUGCCCAGCAACAAUGUACAAAUGAAGCACACACAAAAAAAAUGAACAGUAAUAUUAUUGUUGACCUAAUUAUUUCAAGGACUGUGUAGCUGUGGCAAAAGCCAUUGUGCUUCCUCUCGGAAACAAGUAGGAAAUCGAUAUUUUUGAGUGUUUAUUUAGAAAUUGAGCAUCAGGUACCAC
rnacentral:lncRNA from 1 species